AGGGAGAACUGAAAACCAGUGGCUCACCUCCUGGCUCAGAGGACUUGAUAAGAAGUGUCCAGCUGGUCAGGUUGUACAAGAAAGCUGAUAAGAGCUGGUGUCCAGCCCAACUCUUGCUUGUCAGGUUUCUAAAUGCGGAGGGACCUGAACCAUCUUCUCGUCGGCACACUCCUGUGGAGUAGGAGAGGCUGCUGGGGAAGCUCCCACAGGGGAAGCAGGAGAUGCCCAGGCCUCUGCCUUCUCAGACAGCCUUCUCCACCAAAAGAUGCAGACAAUUCAUUUCCCACCAUCAUGGGCACAGUUUAGCCUUCAAUUUUCCUGACUACCUCAGGAUUAACUCAGUGAGACUUCCCUGGACCAUUUAAGGGAGCACCACACUUCUUUCUAUUCCCCAGAAAUUGUAACCCGGACUUGGUUUUGUGAUGCUAAUUGCCUUAUCUUCAUAAAUUCUACAGUCUUA